rnacentral:rRNA from 1 species
AGAGGGUGCAAGCGUUAAUCCGGAGUUACUGGGCGUAAAGCGUGCGUAGGCGGAUAUUUAAGUCGGAUGGUGAAACGCCCCGGGCUCAACCUGGGAACUGCAUUCGAUACUGGGUAUCUAGAGUAUGAUAGAGGAAAGUGGAAUUUCCGGUGUAGCGGUGAAAUGCGUAGAUAUCGGAAGGAACACCAGCGGCGAAGGCGACUUUUCUGGAUCAAUACUGACGCUGAGGUACGAAAGCGUGGGGAGCAAACAGGGAUUAGAGACCCUGGUAGUCCACGCUGUAAACCGAUGAGAACUAGGCGUUAAUUUCAUUUUAUUAUGGAACUAGUGCCAAAGCUAACGCGUUAAGUUCUCCGCCUGGGGAUACGAUCGCAAGAUUA